ACAUGCCUACAACAUAGCAUUAAUGCAUCGGAUCCCAUUAAAACUCCCCAAUUAAGCGUGUUCAGGCUAGAGUGGUACUAGGAUGAAUAACCACUCGGGAAGUCUUAGUGUUUUACAUGCC
rfam:Picea glauca, whole genome shotgun sequence.